GCCUGGUUAGUUCAGAUGGAUAGAACGAGUCCCUCCUAAGGAUUAAACUCGCGUUCGACUCGCGAACCGGGUA
rnacentral:tRNA from 12 species